rnacentral:rRNA from 1 species
CCUACGGGCGGCAGCAGUGGGGAAUAUUGGGCAAUGGAGGCAACUCUGACCCAGCAACGCCGCGUGAAGGAAGACGGUUUUCGGAUUGUAAACUUCUAUUAAUAGGGAAGAAAGAAAUGACGGUACCUAAAUAAGAAGCCCCGGCUAACUACGUGCCAGCAGCCGCGGUAAUACGUAGGGGGCAAGCGUUAUCCGGAUUUACUGGGUUUAAAGGGUGCGUAGGCGGUCCGUUAAGUCAGCGGUAAAAUUGCGGGGCUCAACCCCGUCGAGCCGUUGAAACUGGCAGACUUGAGUUGGCGAGAAGUACGCGGAAUGCGCGGUGUAGCGGUGAAAUGCAUAGAUAGCGCGCAGAACUCCGAUUGCGAAGGCAGCGUACCGGCGCCAGACUGACGCUGAGGCACGAAAGCGUGGGGAUCGAACAGGAUUAGAUACCCUAGUAGUC